rnacentral:misc_RNA from 1 species
AAUCAAUUAGGUUUGCAGACUAUGUGUUCUAAAUUCCCUGUUGAUUGAUUUCUCCAUGACUUUCUGAAUGUAAUUUUAGUACUUAAAAGACUAAGGGAACCGACUUGUUAGUUCAACUAAAACUCAUGUAUGUCGGUGAGGAUUAGGUCCAGCAAAUCUUUACUCUUCCAUAAGAAUGGAUUACUGGUGCAUAUGACCAGGCAUUUUGGUCUAGUAUAUGCUUAUGAUUGAUAUC